rnacentral:rRNA from 1 species
CCUACGGGGGGCAGCAGUGGGGAAUAUUGCACAAUGGGGGAAACCCUGAUGCAGCGACGCCGCGUGAGUGAAGACGUAUUUCGGUAUGUAAAGCUCUAUCAGCAGGGAAGAAAAUGACGGUACCUGAUUAAGAAGCCCCGGCUAACUACGUGCCAGCAGCCGCGGUAAUACGGGGGAUGCGAGCGUUAUCCGGAUUUAUUGGGUUUAAAGGGUGCGUAGGCGGCGCUUGAGGUCAGCGGUGAAAUACCGGGGCUCAACCCCGGGGCUGCCGUUGAAACCGGAGCGCUAGAAUGUCGAUGCGGUCGGAGGAAUGUGUGGUGUAGCGGUGAAAUGCAUAGAGAUCACACAGAACACCGAUUGCGAAGGCAUCUGACGAAUCGGAGAUUGACGCUGAUGCACGAAAGCGUGGGUAUCGAACAGGAUUAGAUACCCCAGUAGUC